rnacentral:rRNA from 1 species
GUAGGUGGCAAGCGUUGUCCGGAAUUAUUGGGCGUAAAGCGCGCGCAGGCGGCCCUUUAAGUCUGAUGUGAAAGCCCACGGCUCAACCGUGGAGGGUCAUUGGAAACUGGGGGACUUGAGUACAGAAGAGGAAAGCGGAAUUCCAAGUGUAGCGGUGAAAUGCGUAGAGAUUUGGAGGAACACCAGUGGCGAAGGCGGCUUUCUGGUCUGUAACUGACGCUGAGGCGCGAAAGCGUGGGGAGCAAACAGGGAUUAGAUACCCUGGUAGUCCACGCCGUAAACGAUGAGUGCUAAGUGUUAGGGGGUUUCCCGCCCCUUAGUGCUGCAGCUAACGCAUUAAGCACUCGCCUGGGGAUACGGCCGCAAGGCUG